CCCAUGUAUAAAAAAGCUACUUAAAAUAUAUCUUUAAACGAUUUUGGGCUAGAUACCUACUAGACAUCUUCGUAGACUUUUUAUUUAGGCCUCUAGUUACUGUUCAUUUGUGAUAAUUAAAUAGUCAAUUAUUUACAGUCAGUCAAUAGGCCUACAUGCACAGCAAUAUGUAAAAUGAGACGUUUUGAAGAAUAUAUACGUCUGUAUUUACAACAGAGAAAAAGAAGGGCAAUGUUCGUAUUAUAUAAAUUAAUACUAAUGUUGG